UACGUAGGGUGCGAGCGUUAAUCGGCCUUCCUUUUCUUCCCUCUUUCUCCUGCGGUUCCUUCCUUCCGGUGUGAAAGCCCUGUUCUUAACCUCGUCCUGGCGCUUUAGACUGGGUAGCUUUGAGUGUGGCAGAGGGAGGUGGAAUUCCACGUGUAGCAGUGAAAUGCGUAGAGAUGUGGAGGAACACCGAUGGCGAAGGCAGCCUCCUGGGCCAGCACUGACGCUCAUGCACGAAAGCGUGGGGAGCAAACAGG
rnacentral:rRNA from 1 species